rnacentral:rRNA from 1 species
UCGGCAGGGCGAACGGGUGAGUAACACGUUGGAACCUACCUCGAACUCAGGGAUAACUCCGCGAAAGCGGAGAUAAUACCGGAUGUCCCAGUAAUGGGAAAGCUUUUGCGGUUCGAGAGGGGCCUGCGGCCUAUCAGCUUGUUGGUGAGGUAAUGGCUUACCAAGGCUACGACGGGUAACUGGUGUGAGAGCAUGACCAGUCACAAUGGAACUGAGACACGGUCCAUACUCC